rnacentral:rRNA from 1 species
AUUGAACGCUGGCGGCAGGCCUAACACAUGCAAGUCGAGCGAGCGGCGGACGGGUGAGUAAUGUCUGGGAAACUGCCUGAAGGAGGGGGGUAACUACUGGAAACGGUUGCUAAUACCGCAUACCAUCAGAUGUGCCCAGAUGGGAUUAGCUAGUAGGUGGGGUAACGGCUCACCUAGGCGACGAUCCCUAGCUGGGUUGAGAGGAUUACCGGCUACACGGGAACUGUGACACGGUCCAGACUCCGACGGGAGGCAGCAGUGGGGAAUAUUGCACAAUGGGCGCAAGCCUGAUGCAGCAAGGCCGCGUGUGUGAAGAAGGCCUUCGGGUUGUAAAGCACUUUCAGCGGGGAGGCGGUACCCGCAGAAGAAGCACCGGCUAACUCCGUGCCAGCAGCCGCGGUAAUUC